rnacentral:lncRNA from 1 species
UCUGUGUUAUAGACUCUUGCAUGUGGAGCAGGUGACUUCACAAUUUCAAAUGGCAAUAGAUGAAGGGUAAAACCUUCUAUCUCCAAAUCUCCAUUUCGUCUUCUUCUCCCAAUCUACUUCUCUCUCCUUCUUCAUUUCACUUUCUCUCAACUUCUUCUCACACAAUCUUCAUCUCAAGGUAAUGGUAUUGCUUAAUAAUACUUACUACGUUGCUCUACCAUGGUUUCCAUUCUGCUCUCACUAUAACGAUCUUCAUUUCUUCUGUCUUUCACCCCUUUCACCUUCACUUUUUAAAGAAGAUGAAAUUUUUCCUUUGGCUUUCAUCCAUUUCGUCUUCAUUUUUAAAGAAGAUAACAUUUUUGUGGAUUCAAAGUUUUUUGUUUACUGCAUUAAUGUUGUCUUUAAUGAUUUCAUAAUAUUUGUUCCAUUUCUAUAAAAGAUGAAAUUUUUCUGUGUGCUCACUAUGAAACCCUUCAAUUUGUUACUUUGUUAACAUGCAAACUAAUCUUGG